rnacentral:tRNA from 1 species
GGUGGCUUAGUGGUAGAGAGCUUGCCUUGCAUGCAUGAGGCCCUGGGUUCAAUUCCUCAGCACCA